rnacentral:rRNA from 1 species
ACACCGGCAGCUCUAGUGGUAGCAAUUUUUAAUGGGCCUAAAGCGUCCGUAGCCGGUUUAAUAAGUCUCUGGUGAAAUCCUGCAGCUUAACUGUGGGAAUUGCUGGAGAUACUAUUAGACUUGAGAUCGGGAGAGGUUAGAGGUACUCCCAGGGUAGAGGUGAAAUUCUGUAAUCCUGGGAGGACCGCCUGUUGCGAAGGCGUCUAACUGGAACGAUUCUGACGGUGAGGGACGAAAGUUAGGGGCGCGAACCGGAUUAGAUACCCGGGUAGUCCUAACUGUAAACGAUGCGGACUUGGUGUUGGGGUGGCUUUGAGCUGCUCCAGUGCCGAAGGGAAGCUGUUAAGUCCGCCGCCUGGGAAGUACGGUCGCAAGACUGAAACUCAAAUGAAUUGGCGGGG